rnacentral:tRNA from 1 species
GGCCGGUUAGCUCAGUCGGGAGAGCUUCGCCCUGUAAGCGAGGUGCCCGGGUUUGAGUCCCGAACUGGCUG